AUUGAACGCUGGCGGCAUGCUUUACACAUGCAAGUCGAACGGUAACAGGCCUUCGGGUGCUGACGAGUGGCGAACGGGUGAGUAAUGCAUCGGAACGUACCCAGAGGUGGGGGAUAACGCAGCGAAAGCUGUGCUAAUACCGCAUGUGAUCUGAGGAUGAAAGCGGGGGACCGAGCAGCAAUGUUUUGCCUCGCGCCUUUGGAGCGGCCGAUGUCGGAUUAGCUAGUUGGUGGGGUAAAGGCCUACCAAGGCGACGAUCCGUAGCUGGUCUGAGAGGACGACCAGCCACACUGGGACUGAGACACGGCCCAGACUCCUACGGGAGGCAGCAGUGGGGAAUUUUGGACAAUGGGCGCAAGCCUGAUCCAGCAAUGCCGCGUGAGGGAAGAAGGCCUUCGGGUUGUAAACCGCUUUUGGCAGGAACGAAACGGUGUCCGCUAAUACCGGGCGCUAAUGACGGUACCUGCAGAAUAAGCACCGGCUAACUACGUG
rnacentral:rRNA from 1 species